UUUAAGAAAAUGUGUUACUACCUCGGUUUCAUGCAGAACCGAGGCAUAACACCACUGCACCGUAUCACUUUUUGGCUGCACCAUAUCAUCUUUUGGCUGACAAGCGUCUUGAACACGAAAAGGCACUGCCACGUCCACUUUUUGAAGCUUCUAUCUGAUUUGUCCAAGAGAUACAACCUUGUUUCAUAUUACUCGAGGCAUAUAGUCUACAAUCGAGGUAAUAUUCUUUAAUAAGUUCAAAAUUUCAGCUCUUGUCAUUUAUUCGCGUCGCUGCUACUACUUCUUCUUCUUUCUCUUUUGCGCUCCAGUUGGUCAUUGCUUGUGUUCAACUCUUCUUCGUUGGUUUUUUGUGUUCAUUGCUUUUUCUUUCACUUUAAGCUUCCUUGUGUUCACUGCGUCUUCGUUGCUUCUUCUUCAGGUUGUUGCUUUGUCUUUGCUGCCACCGUCGUUGUUCUCCCAAGGGUUGCCUCCAUCAACACGCCGCCGCGAGUCCUUCAUCGUUGUCGCUUCACUGUGGUUUGGUCAGUUUUUGGUGCUGCCAUUGUCCUUGCCGUUCUCACCUUCGUAGCCGUUGCUGCCGCCCCCACUGUCAUCGCCCUUGGUGCUGCCCACGGUAAGUUAUUCAUCUUUUGAAGAUAUAUAUGAUUUGAGAUUCUCUCAACUGGUUUAUGCAGUACGUAAUUAUGUGAUGUGAUUGUUGUUUCUAU
rnacentral:lncRNA from 1 species